rnacentral:rRNA from 1 species
AGAUUGAACGCUGGCGGCAUGCCUUACACAUGCAAGUCGAACGCGAAAGGGGGGCAACCCCCGAGUAGAGUGGCGAACGGGUGAGUAAUACAUCGGAACGUAUCCAGUAGCGGGGGAUAACCUCUCGAAAGAGAGGCUAAUACCGCAUACGACCUACGGGUGAAAGAGGGGGAUCGCAAGACCUCUCACUAUUGGAGCGGCCGAUGUCGGAUUAGCUAGUUGGCGGGUAACGCCACCAAGGCUACGAUCCGUAGCUGGUCUGAGAGGACGACCAGCACACUGGAACUGAGACACGGUCCAGACUCCUACGGGAGGCAGCAGUGGGAAUUUGGACAAUGGGCGCAAG